rnacentral:tRNA from 1 species
AUGUAGCGCAGCCCGGUAGCGCGCUUCGUUCGGGACGAAGAGGCCGCUGGUUCGAAUCCAGUCAU